UCAUCCUUUUCAGGUCCCUAAAAUCGCAGAUAUUUAGUGGAAAUUCCGGAAAGGUAAAAGUUUUUGUCUGGUUAAUAUAAUCUCAGCAAAUUUACCAGAUUUGUUGUUCUCUGUUCGAUGUCCGAUCUGAUCUCCAAAAGCUAUUCUACUACUGCUAGAUCUGAACAAUUUGAUCCAGAUCUUUAUACGGGGAGAGGGGUUGAACUCGUUAGAUCUCGGAAAAUCUUAAAAGGAUCUGGUCGCAUGAUGCUUUAGGAUUUAUUCUUAGAUUUUUAUAUGGUUUAAAAGAUCUGGAAGACUGGUUCUGAGGUGAGACUGUGUGUUUAGGUCAGAUCCGAGAUUAUGGAUUAAAUCUAUGGAUUUGCGAGUUGUGUAUAUGCUUUGAUCUGCAAGCAGAAAGCUUAUGGUUGUCAGAUCAAGAAUCACAGUCUUAGUCAUAGUCAUGUUCUCGGUUGCAGUUCCUGUGCUUGUGUUUAUCUCGAAAUAACCAAAAUUUCGUAGAUCUGCAAAUAAUGAUUAUGUUCUGCUUAGCCUCUUUCUGUUUUCGAAAUUAUUUGUCUGAUUCAUGCUGUUAUUUGGGUUUUUGGGGGCUGUUUUCACAGUCUCUUUGGUUAUCUAGUUUGAUUUGUGGAUAAGGAUUAUGUUCUGCUUAGCCUGUUCCUAUUUUGAGGGAUUAAUAGACCGAUUUAUGCUGUUAUUGCGUUUUUGGAGGCUGUUUACUGUUUAUAAUCUGUUUGGUUAUUUAGUCUCAUUUGAGUGAAUUUUUAUUUGGUUAUCUGGUUGUUGAAUUUUAGUUUAGAAUAGUUUCUCUGUUUUAAGUAGGCUAAAAUAACUAAAAUAGUUUCUGUGUUGGUUGGCUGGUUCGGAAUAAGUAAUUUCUAUCAUUAGAUCUUGUAACAGUCACAACUUUUUAGAGUUGUAGUUCGAGAUGGAAAGGGCUGUCUCGGGAUCUUAUAUAUGCUUUUGGGAUCACUUGAUGAGGCAGAUCUCUUGGAAGUGUUAGAAGCACGAAUAUGGUUUGUUUCGAUCUGUUAUCAUGGUGAUGGGAUUGGGGGCAUGAAUUUAUUCUUAUUUUCUUCGGCUAAUUUCUUGUUCAAGAAUUUGAAUAGCUAUCUUUUGAUCAAUGGUUUAAAUUAUCUGCAUGUAUAGAUUGGUUUUCUUUCUUCUUGGAUGUGCAUAUUUGAUCAAAAACAUAAUUCAUUGUCUUAGAUCUGUUCUACAUUCAAUUUGUUUGUUCCCCUCAGCACGACAGGGCAAUUGGUUGGUUAUAGGCAUAUCCGAACAAUAUUUGUUUAUGAUUUGGUCUGUCUGGCUUUUUGCAUGCUGAAUCUAAACCUUCCAUCAUCAAUUAUGUGUUCCCCGUUUGGUAAAAGCAGUCUGCAGUUUUAUUGUUUAUUGCUUGUUAGCUGCAGUUAUGGGUAAUCUAAAAUUAAGGCAUCUUAUCAAAUUUCUCUUUGGAGUUGUCUUACACAUGAUUGGUGCAUGGAUAUAUCUUUGAUUUUUUUUUGAUUGAAAUAUUCUUAUAUCUUUGAAGGCGCCAUAGUAUGUUCCUUCACUUGAUCAAAUUAAACAUUGUAAUUUGCAAGCAGAUUCAUCAUAAGUCAGUUCUUUACUUGUGCACUUUAAAAACUCCUCGAAGUUAUUGCCGACAUGGGUGUUUUACUUGCAUUGCAUAUAGAAUUGAAAAAGAGAAAAAAGAAACAUGAAGUUUAGGUGCAAGUCAUGUGUUAUUCAUGAAGCUUUGAGGAACUGUGUUAUUUCACAUGAUUAUACUUUGGGUGAGACAUCAAGGUGUUGUGGAGCUUUUAACUGUUUCAAAAUUAUGCAUCUAGAAUAACUCUUCCAGCAUUCCAUUUUCUUUUGAGCUUUUGUUUGUAUCACCUGCUAAAUUAUUCUCUCUCUCUCUCUCUCUCUCUCUCUCUCUCUUUUUCUUUGUUUCAUUUUGUAGAAAAAGUUACUGCUGAAAUGAGCACCAUGGCAAUGCCUUCUGGGGCAGCAGCAAAGUCUACACUCAACCCGAAUGCCCCACUUUUUAUCCCGGCAGCAUUUCAGCAGGUAGAGGAUUUCUCCCCCAAGUGGUGGGAGCUGGUGAAGACAACCACAUGGUUCCGUGAUCACUGGUUCCAUCAGCACCAGGAGCAAGAAACUUUUGAUGGCGAUGAUGAUGAGGAUGUCACAAAUCUGCUUCCAGAAUCUUUCGAUCUUGGCAUCGCAGAUGAGUUGUCAAUUCUCGAGGCGGAGUUUGAAGCUGCAGCUUACCACCAAGCUCUGGGUGCUGAAGAACUAGUUUCUGGUAUGCAGAAGAAAG
rnacentral:lncRNA from 1 species